rnacentral:rRNA from 1 species
GAUGAACGCUAGCGGCAGGCCUAACACAUGCAAGUCGAGGGGCAGCACAUAAAGUGGUUUACUACUUUUGGUGGCGACCGGCGGACGGGUGCGUAACGCGUAUGCAACCUGCCCCCAACAGGGGGAUAACGGAGAGAAAUUUCCACUAAUACCCCAUAAUAUCAGAAUCGGCAUCGGUUUUGGUUGAAAACUCCGGUGGUUGGAGAUGGGCAUGCGUUGGAUUAGAUAGUUGGUGAGGUAACGGCUCACCAAGUCAACGAUACAUAGGGGGACUGAGAGGUUAGCCCCCCACACUGGUACUGAGACACGGAACAGACUCCUACGGGAGGCAGCAGUGAGGAAUAUUGGUCAAUGGGGGCAACCCUGAACCAGCCAUGCCGCGUGCAGGAAGACGGCUCUAUGAGUUGUAAACUGCUUUUACAAGGGGAUAAAUCGGUGUACGUGUACACCGUUGAAGGUACCUUGGGAAUAAGGAUCGGCUAACUCCGUGCCAGCAGCCGCGGUAA